rnacentral:lncRNA from 10 species
CUUUGAGCUUAUACUGAAUUAUACCACCAGCUUUCCUAGGUCUUGAAGCUUACAGACAGCAGAUCUUGGGACUUCUCAGGCACCAUAAUCAAUCAUAGAUAAAUGAUCCAAUGAUUCGGAACUUGAAAAGUGGUAGCUUUAUGAAUUCUCCUUAAGAAGAAACCUGUGCCCCGAUCUUGCCUACUCACCCAAAGGCACUGUGAGAUAGCAUCAAAGGAACAGCUAGUAAGAGACACAGAGCCAGAAAUCAGGGAAGUAAAAUACACUUGACAUCUACAUUCGGAAAGAAAUUUUAGGAGGCAGAAGCAAAUGGAUCAGAAGCUGCUUAUAUUUUUGCAAGAUUACCAAAGAAACCAUUGGUGGAGAAAGUUCUGUGACCAACUUGUCUGAGUCUAGUAAGACUGAACGCUCACACACAAGUUUCAUGAAGUGGGUUUGAUACUUACAGAUAAGCAGCAAGGACCAACAGAAGCUGAUGAUCUAUGGUGAACUUUUUCCCAAGGCUCCGGAAAGCUGCCUAAAGUAGAUGGAGUCUUCUCUGUGUGUGCCCCACUGGUCCUGCAGUUGAAGGAUCCGGUAAAGCAGCCUGCCCUGGGUUUUACACUCCAGAGGAACGUGAUUCGCUGGACUAAAGCAUUGAAGUGCAUCCUGUUUCCGGGGGGCACUGGAACAGAGCCUGGUCUGUUCUAGCCAGUCCCUUUCUAUCUCAGGAUGUUGCAUUCCCAGUACAUUCUACAGUUAUUCUUGAGAACUAUAAUCAAAUAAGCAGGGAGAACUGGGAAAUUUGGAACCUAGGUUUUCCCAACCUACAUCUACAAAAUGGAAUGGGUCUGAUUCACAAGUUUUCAGAGAAAGAAGCCAACCUUAAUCAGACUGUGAUAUGAUGAGGAAAUAAAAAUUGCUGUGCUAAUCAACUGAUACUGGGAAGCAUGUUUAUUAUAAUAACAUAGUCUAUGCUUAACUUUUCGAAGAAACUAAUGAUCUGGAAUAUCGAUAAAAAGAAAAAAGAAAGAAAGCAAAAGGACAGAAAGUUUUAGUGAGAAUAUGUCACUAAAAGAAAAAUACAAAAAUCUCCAGGUAAUUGUUCUUGUCUGUCACUAUAAUCAAAGUGGUAUUUCACCCCCCAUCUGUUGUCCCUGCUUUGAUGAGUGAGAAUAGAAGAGCAGUUCCUGGUUACAUGUUGGCAACAGGAGGGUAUAAAUAUCAAAUUGCCUUAAGCACUGGCAAAGGCUUAAGAGUCCAUCCUAAAUUGAGGGAUUAUCCAGUACCCUGUUUAGAAUGGAAAUAAAUCCUUGCACAGUACUUUCAACUCAAUAACUGAAAAAAUGCAGAGAGCAAAUUCAACAAUUUGUAUUACCAACAGCCAGCUGAGUCCAACUUUCUAAAUCCAUUGGAAAACAGAAAAGCAGAAAAGCAGAAAAACAGGCAUCAGUAACUGUCCUAAAAAGUGAAGGACUCAGGAGGCUGAGGCAGCAGAAUCACUUGAACCCAGGAGGCAGAGGUUGCAGUGAGCCGAGAUGGUGCCACUGCACUCCAGCCUCGGCGACAGAGCGAGACCGUCUCAAAAAUAAAAAAAAAAAAAAAAUGUGAAGGACUGAGGGAAAGAAACAGAAUAGACCAUAAUGAGUCAGAUGCGAGAUAAGAGAAACAGGGCCCGGAACAUAUGCCCUCAGAUAGAAUAAGAACAAUAUCAAAGAUGAAAAUCCAAGAAAACACCUUGAGGAAAAUAAGAUGAUAGUAAUACUAAAUAUAUAUGUUAAAGGACUAAUUUUAAUGAGAUACCUUCACAUAGGUAGGAAGAAAAAUAAAUUCAAUGUGCAGAUAUUCCUUAUGUAUAUACCAAUGAAAGUAAAGAGACAGAUAAAAUAAGUCAGGCAAAUGCUAACAUAAGAAAAUAGAGUCACAUUAUUUAUUUUGUAAUUUGAUAUCUGAAUAUUAAAAACUUACACCUUCAAAGUGCAGAUAUAACUCCCAUGAAUGUUGACACACUAAGUAACAGUAAAAUACAUUAAGCCAAUUAGAACUGUAAGAAAAAGGAAAGCAACACAGAAUAAAAACAAGACUCAGUAGGUGAUCUUUAUCUAGAAUCAGAACAAUUAAAAUAAAAUAAUGACUGGAGAAAAACUGAAGUAAGUACUAUGUUUAAUGCCUGUAAGCAAAUAUACGUAUUUUGAAUUGUGACAUGAUUAAAAAAGAACAUAUGAUUUUCAAGUGUUCAUAUAACACAUUGAAAAAUUAAGCAUAAACUCCCCGAAAUUCUUAUACCUAAAUGUCAUAAAAUAAGUACCAAUCAUACCAACUACUUUUCUGAACAUAAUGCAGUGAGAUCUAUAAAACAACUGAUAUUUUGUGGCUGUUGUUUACCGCAUCAAAAGAAGACUAAUAAAGCAAUGUAUUUACCCUGUGAAUGUAUAUGUUCAAAUAAUUUAUAUAGACUGUACACAUAAUAUUCUUUUAAUUUUCUUUAUAUUUCUUCUUAUAUAUCCAUUUUCUAAAAUAGUGAGUUAUGCUUUUAUUCACUAGAUUUUUUUCUGUUUAAAUUUGUUUAGGUAUUAUAUUUGAUAUUUUAUUAAUUUCUGUAUUGAUGUUUAUCAUUUACUUCUUCCAGUUUUCAAAUAUUUUAUGAUUAAAAUUAUAGAUCAUUGUUUUAAGACCAUCUUAUGUAAAUAGCAAAGGUUUGAUUUGUAAUGAUUUUAUAAAUAUACAUAUUUUAAUAUAAUCAAAUUGUUAAUAUGCUGGUCUACACAUUUGCCUUUAGUUUCCAUUUUUACCCAAGAUACGCUAGACAAAUAUUUUCAUGUUAUUCUAAAGAUUAGAAUUUUUAUUUUGCUGUCAAUAGCUCUUUAAUAUCUUUCAUAUGUUCUAUCUACCUAUAUCUCUGUGUGAUCUUUGUUAAACCCAUAUUCUGAGGUUUAGAUUUCCCAACCACCCAAUACUGGUGGAAAUUCUGAUAGUUUUUGAAACCAUGUCUCAAGACUUGUCCCAUGGAAAAUAAAGGAAAUCUCUAUUCUGUCAUUGGCUGGGAACUGCUCUAGGGUGUUUACAUCCCUGGCAAUUUUUAUUUUUCUCAUGUUGAGCCUGAAAGAAAGUCACCGAUCAUGAAAUGCGAGCAUGGACAGGGACAAUUAGUCCAAAGGGAAAAAUUAGAGACACUGACUGUUCCAUUAUACGUAACUAUAUACCUAGUCACUCAAUAUAAUGAAGAGUUUCAUAAUUAGUCAAAAUGAAAUUGAACCAUAUUAAUUCUACAUGGAACAAUUCAAAAUGAAUUUAGUCUGGGUAUAGAUGGUAAAGAGAAAAAGUGAAUUUAAUUAGAACACAAUUUCAAUCAAAUUAAGUCUUUGCAUGAGUUAUCAAGGACACAAUAAAUAACUGAACAAUUCCAAAGAGUUACUUUCAUAGUAAUUUCAAAUAAUGCUCUAAUUAUCUCGAAUAUGUGUGUGCCAGAUAAAAAAAAACCUUCAAUUUUCUAGAGGAAGAGUUGAAAAUUGUGAGAAGAAAUAUUCAGAAAAAAAAAAUGUUGAUUUAUUUGCCUUAACAAUUUAAGCUUACAUAAAUAAGUAUGGACAUAAAAAUAGAGUACCACACUGGCCAUACACAGCAUGCUUGAGAUCAAUCCAUAAGGAUAAAUAUAUACAUGUACUGUAUUCCUUUCAUUGCUAUAUGUUACUUUUUGCAUCACCUCAUUUUAUGUAUUUAAAUUCAUUAGCCCCUAUGAAGUUAAUGUAUAAAAUAACUAAUUUUUUAUUUCUCUAAAAAUACUUUAUUGAAUAAUUUAUAAUUUCCCCUUAUAUUUAUAGUGAAACCACUGUUAUUUGAAGUUUGUAUAUGACUAUAAUUCUCCUCUGAUUAUAUCUGGUUUUCACUUUUUAAUUUUUAAUUAUUCUUGUAUCCCUCAAUGAACCUCAUUUAGUCAUUAUGCAUUCUUCUUUUUUUUUUUUUUUUUUUUUUUUUUUUUCUGAGAUGGAGUUUCGCUCUUUUUGUCCAUGCUGGAGUGCAAUGGCGCUAUCUCAGCUCCCUGAAACCUCUGCCUCCUGGGUCCAAGUGAUUCUCCUGCCUCAGCCUCCCAGGUACCUGGGAUUACAGGCAUGCGUCACCACGCCCAGCUAAUUUUGUAUUUUUAGUAGAGGCAGGGUUUCCCCCAGUGGCUUUUACUGAUUCUGACACAGGCCAACUCUAAGCUUGAGACAGCAGUGGAAGGGUUUCUGUGGGUGAAACAGGCGUGUCUCAGGCUUGUCAGCCAGGUAUGACAAAAUAUGUCUUAGGUUUGAUUCUCAUAUGCAUGAUGACUACAAAUAUUUUUGCAAAUGUCAGUAUUUUAACUUCAUAUAUAAACAUAAAAUCUUCAAAACACUAACACAAAUUAGAGUUCUUCUAUCAAUGCUCAUAGCUAAACAUACCAGAGUAAAGAUUUUGCAUCAGCCUCCUUUUUUGAGUAAGAAGAAAAACAAUCAAACAAGCAAAUACAUCUCAAUCAUCAAUAAAAUGAGAAGUCAACCAUGACCACUAGCCACAAACUAUGAAGAAAGACUCACUAGUGCAGUGAAAAUUAAGUGUUGAAGUAAAGCAUGGUCUCAUACUUGUACAGACCUACAGCAGUGCAAGUGCUCUCCAAAGGUAGGCUAUGCAUUAUGAGGAGUCAAAUUUAAAAAAUCUCUUCCUUCCUAUGCCAGGUAGAUGUCUAUUAAAGACUUUUGCUAACAUAAGCAGCACUGAAUGAGAGCAACAGGCAAACAAACAUUCUUUAUAGAUACAGCUAUGAUAAAGAGAGGAUACAGAGAUUAUGGUCAACAGUGCUGCACCAACUAAACUUAGUCAACUGAACUAAAUUUACUGUUAAUUCACAAAAGUAAUGCUGAAAUAUGUAUUUGCUGGAAGAAAAAAGACUUCUUAUCCAGAGCAAAACCAGAUUAUACAGGCUGAGGUACGGUGUUGGUGGAGAAGCUUUGGUCCAUAAUUAAUUCUCAGUGUGAUCACUAGAAAAUUAUCUGCAGAGAACCUAGGUGAAUUCAUAGCUUGAAAAUGAUAUGAAGAAAAAUUUGGAUAACAAAGAUGAAAAUGUUCAAAAGAGGUUAAUUAUACCACAAACUAUAUAAAUAUUAACAUACAUUUCUGCAAGCUAUCAAAGAAAUAAAGGAACAUUUUGGCUUUUUAAACAUAGAAUAAAAAAUGAUGUGAAAGUGGCGUUAAAAAUGUGAAAUGGCAACAUCAAGGAAGAAAUAGAAGAUAUCCAUAAAACUAUCACAGAAAGAAAAAGUCUAAGUAAAACAGCAGAUUGUCAUGAAUAAGGAGGUAAAUAAGGAGAAAAAAAAAUGAGUGCAAUGAAAUUAUAAAAAGAUGAACACGUUUAAAACAAGAUCCCCUAGUGUUAUCAUACAUAUGUAUAAUAUGAGACUUGGAUGAAGAGAAUAGAAGAAAUGUCUACUAAUGGGGAAAGGAGGGCUAAUAGUGCAGACUUCUUCUUAAAUACGUUUGUAGACCAGAGGAGUAAACUGAAUACACCACUACUGAGUGACUGAGCUUCUAAUGUGAGAUUUUAUUAUUUUUAACAUUUUUGCAAGUAACCAAAAAUGUUUUGCUUGGUUCACAUGAAAGUUUGAUAUAUGUGUGGUUAGUAAGCUCCAUAUUCCAACAUUUGUGUUCAAGCACAAGAUCAAAUAAAUUAAUAUAAAUAAAU